UACGGAGGAUGCGAGCGUUAUCCGGAUUUAUUGGGUUUAAAGGGUGCGCAGGCGGAUUUUUAAGUCAGCGGUCAAAUCGUGGGGCUCAACCCCAUCCAGCCGUUGAAACUGGGGAUCUAGAGUGUGCGAGAGGUAUGCGGAAUGCGUGGUGGUAGCGGUGAAAUGCAUAGAUAUCACGCAGAACCCCGAUUGCGAAGGCAGCAUACCGGUGCACAACUGACGCUCAGGCACGAAAGCGUGGGUAGUCGAACAGG
rnacentral:rRNA from 1 species